rnacentral:rRNA from 1 species
GGCGACGAUCUAUAGCUGGUCUGAGAGGAUGAUCAGCCACACUGGGACUGAGACACGGCCCAGACUCCUACGGGAGGCAGCAGUGGGGAAUCUUGCACAAUGGGCGAAAGCCUGAUGCAGCCAUGCCGCGUGUGUGAUGAAGGCCUUAGGGUUGUAAAACACUUUCAGAGGGGAAGAUAAUGACGGUACCCUCAGAAGAAGCUCCGGCUAACUCCGUGCCAGCAGCCGCGGUAAUACGGAGGGGGCUAGCGUUGUUCGGAAUUACUGGGCGUAAAGCGCGCGUAGGCGGAUUGAUUAGUCAGAGGUGAAAUCCCAGGGCUCAACCCUGGAACUGCCUUUGAUACUGUCAGUCUAGAGACCGAGAGAGGUGAGUGGAAUUUCCAGUGUAGAGGUGAAAUUCGUAGAUAUUGGGAAGAACACCAGUGGCGAAGGCGGCCACCUGGCUCGG